CCAGCACCUCACAGAAGAUCCUUGCUCCCCUGAAAGAGAUCGCGCCUUACAGGGCCAUUGCUCCAGUGUCACUGGUGAAUUAGAAAAAAGCCAACUCUUCUAGACAAGGCCCAACGAGGACUGGAUUUCCAAUCCCUCAGCUGGAAAAUAAAGCAGGCCACAAUUUGCACAACUGCGUAAAUGAAGCAGUCCACAGUUUGCACACUGCGUACAGCAACACUGCUCACCCCUCAUAACUGGCCUGACCACACCCUGCCAUGCUUGGGGCUCCCACUGCACUGAUCAUCACCACCAGGUGCCUUUGCUGCCACUCCAACCUGCCUGUGAGCACUGCA